GAGAGCAAGAGAGUGCAAGCAGGGCAGGGGCAGAGAGAGGGGGACAGCAGUGAGCCCGAUGUGUGGCUUGAACUCGUGAACUGCAAGAUCAUGACCUGAGCUGAAGUCAGAUGUUCAACCAACUGAGCCACCCAGGGGUGGGAAGAGGAAAAGAAAGCUGAAAAGGAGCCAGAAAGGCAAGAGGCAAAGAGGAGCUUACAUUUCUGUGGAGGGAGACAGGUAAUCAAGAAAGAAACACAAAAGGGCAGGUGCUGACAAGUGCUCUGGAAAACAAAACAAAACCAAAACAAGGUGAGGAAGCUGGGGAAUGUGGGAUGGGGUGUUUCAUAUCAGGCCAGGUCAAGCAAAAGAUGAUAAAGCAGUAAGUGAGCAAAGGCCUGAAGGAAGUGGGAGAGUACAGAAUGUUCUGGACAGCAGGAAGCACUAAGGCAGAGUCAGGUGCGCGGUAUCAUUCACGAAACAGCAAGGAAGCCAGUGUAGCUAGAGUGGAUGGACUGAAGGGGAGGAUAAGAAUAGGGUUUGAGCAGAGAAGUGAUGUAUCUGAUAUUCACUGUAAAAGGUUGACAGUGACUAGUGUGUGGAAAAGACACUAUAGGGGGUUGAGAUGAUCCCUCCAUUCUUAGAACAAUAUUACUAUAGAUAGGAAUAAAAGUCAAACCCCACAAAUACAGGCUGGUGCUCAACUGGCUGGGUACCAAGAAUAAUAGAAGAAAAGCUAUAGGUCAGAGUUGUCUACACCCCAACCAUGAGACAGUAGUGUGGUAAAACAGGCAAUCCUGCAAUAUGUGACAUCUGACCCAUGAAGACUAGGACGCUGACUCUGUGCCACGUUUGGCCUAUACAGGGCCCCCUAGCACACAGUUGCCUUAUGAUUGCAAUGCUUUCCACCUGUCCCACAGCCCAGGCUGCACACAGGCCUGUUCUCUCCAUAAGUGUUUUCUCCCACUGUUUUCCCUUCUCUUCUGGCUGUGCCUCUAAUGCUGUCAUUCAUUCAGCAACUACCAUGUGUAAAACUUAAUGAAGAGCGCCACAGGAGAGUCUCUGAUAAGGACUUGGAGCUUGAAUCUUUUGUUAAUUGCGCCUAGAGAGCUCUGUCUGCUGUUGGCACAAAUCUCUCUUGUUAGCCCCUUCUGGUUUGCCCUCUAACUGAGGGCUUUUUCUCCACCUCUCACAGAUGCACUCUUGGAAUGUCUGCCCUGCCAGACAAAGGACUUCUCUACAGCCCAAAAUCACUGGCUUCAGUUUGGGUCAGGACUGGCAACCUAGUCUCAGUCUCAGCAGAUUCCCACGCCAUUGGAGCCUAGCAUAAGGAACAGUCCCCAGCUCGUCACAGCUUUGCUGCGCCCCCACACCUCAUCUCCCCUCUCCCUGACUGCCUCCUCCUCACCAGCGUGGGGAUUUGGCUGGAGUAGCUUGAGCUUUGAAUUUUAGAACAAAUCCAGAGAACCCAGUAGCCCAGGGGGACCUGGGAAGGGGCUAACAACACCGGAGGUCAUGUGACUGCCUUUGGCUUCUUAUUGCUCCUCAGGCUUUGCUUAGCACUGAAUUGGGGCCCCUGCCCUCCAGAGCCAAGGGGUAGGGGUGGAGGGCAGCACAACCACAAAUAAUACCACAUAAGAAACUCUAGAGCUGACCUAGGCAUACAGCCCCAUGUUUUUCUUGGCGAGCGAUCCACACCACGGAACAGGGACAUGCUGGCUGCUUAGUCCGCACUGAAGGGUGAAAUCGCCUUCAACUUCUCCGUGCCUCACAUGAUGAUCGGCCUGCACCAUCUUGACCUAUUCCAGGGUGGUUGGAAAGCUAUGAAUCAAACAACAGAUGGGACAGUGCAGGGGCACCUCCUGGUCGCUAUGGUUACAAAGAGCAGCCCUGCCAGGGAGAACCUGGAGUGUAAACAGCAGGAACCGGGUCUGCGGCUGCCAUGUCUGGAAGGAGGCCUCACACAAGGGCAAGGGAGGAGAGGUUUGGACCCCUGUAGGCUCCCCAGGCCAGAAGGAGGAACCUCUUUACCUGAAAACAAAUUUCCCAGAGAAAGAGUCAACUAGAUGUGAAUGUGCCUUUCACAUGUGCUCGUUCCCCAUUUAAUAAGGAAGUUCUGUGAGAAGAAGCAGUUGCAGCCUCGAGAGGUGAAAUUCUGCUCUGGAAAAUAAGACGGGUGAACUGCUAAGUCCAGAAUGAAGACCAGACACCAGGAAGCCUGAAGCCGAAUGUCCUGUAUGCACAUAACAAGCCAAACCUUGGAGCAGCCAGAGGCAGGAGCGAUCAGGCAGGGGACAGCCAUCCAGAACAUUCUGGAAUCACCAUCUGAGGAGCAGAGGGGAGCUGUGUGUGCAGCCAGCUGUGGUCAGACAGAGGAAAUGCAGGGUCUGGCUGCUGGCCAUUCUUACCCUCGCUCCCACCAUCAGGAUCUCUGGCCCCAUCCUGACCCCUGGUGGCUGCCCAUGGGAUGAGAGAGACAGAGCAUGAGCAUGGGAGGGGCAGAGAAAGAGGGAGACAUAGAAUCUGAAGCAGGCUCCAGGCUUUGAGCCGUCAGCACAGAGCCCAACUCGGGGCUCAAAUUCACGGACCACAAGAUCAUGACCUGAACAGAAGUCGGAUGCCCAACCAACUGAGCCACCCAGGCGCCCCUACAGUUACAUUUCCAUUGGACUGAAUGCAGUAAUGCAGGUAAAGUGCCACACACAGUGCCCAGCUCCAAGCACAGAGCUGCUCUACUGGUUGGUUCCCUUUUCUAUGACCUCAGCAUGAUGGUACAUUGUGGCAAAACAAACCAGUGCACCCUCCAAAAAAAAGCACCUCUGAUUUAAAAGAAGGGAUUAUAGGAUCUGCAGGGACAAACCAGACUGGGGCUGGAAGACUGCCUCACUCAGGGAGAUAUUGGGGGCUGGGACAGUGUGCCAAGUUCAAGGAUAGUUCUGCCAGUGACUUCUUCAGGGCUUCAUCAGCUCUACACAUUGCUUUGCAGCCUGGAAUUCUGUCCAGAGUCACUCCACCGAGCAGGCAUCAAUUCCUACCUUCCACUUACCCCUCCCACCCUUUCUCCCUAAAGAACAGGGCACAGGUCUCACCA